GAAGGUGAAGAUGGAGCUAAACGUGCAGUCAGGUGGCCGCUGAUUUCUUCCUGAAGGAAGCAACCUUCACCUGACUUCGGAUCACGAAUUGGAGAGGAAGCUCUAAAAAGCAAGCAC